GGCUUGGCUGGGCGGUCCGCCUCACGGUGAGUACUGUCCGGCCGAGUCUUACCUCCUGGUGAGCCGGCAUGCCCUUUACUGGGUGUGUCGGGGAACCAGGACAUUUACCUUGAGAAAAUUAGAGUGUUCAAAGCAGGCAUUUGCUCGAAUACAUUAGCAUGGAAUAAUAGAAUAGGACGU
rnacentral:rRNA from 1 species